rnacentral:snRNA from 1 species
GGAUGUGAGGGCGAUCUGGCUGCGACAUCUGUCACCCCAUUGAUCGCCAGGGUUGAUUCGGCUGAUCUGGCUGGCUAGGCGGGUGUCCCCUUCCUCCCCCACCGCUCCAUGUGCGUCCCUCCCGAAGCUGCGCGCUCGGUCGAAGAGGACGACCAUCCCCGAUAGAGGAGGACCGUUCUUCGGUCAAGGGUAUACGAGUAGCUGCGCUCCCCUGCUAGAACCUCCAAACAAGCUCUCAAGAUCAGUGUUUCCUAACUUCUCUGGUUCCUCUAGAAUGUCCGCAUUCUUCUUUCCAGAAUCCCAGUUAAGACAUUUUUCUUAUACACAAAAAGGAGAGACAAAU